GAUGAACGCUGGCGGCGUGCCUAAUACAUGCAAGUCGAACGCUGGAACUCUAGCUUGCUAGAUUGAAGGAGUGGCGAACGGGUGAGUAAUACAUAAGCAACCUACCCACGAAGACUGGGAUAAUCUCUGGAAACGGGGACUAAUACCGGAUAGGUAAUCGGAAGGCAUCUUCUGAUUAUUAAAGGUUACAAACACUGGUGGAUGGGCUUAUGGCGCAUUAGUUAGUUGGUGAGGUAACGGCCCACCAAGACGAUGAUGCGUAGCCGGCCUGAGAGGGUGAACGGCCACAUUGGGACUGAGACACGGCCCAGACUCCUAUGGGAGGCAGCAGUAGGGAAUUUUCGGCAAUGGGGGAAACCCUGACCGAGCAACGCCGCGUGAGUGAUGACGGCCUUCGGGUUGUAAAGCUCUGUUGUAAGGGAAGAACGGUAGAUAGAGAAUAUCUAAAUGACGGUACCUUACCAGAAAGCCACGGCUAACUACGUG
rnacentral:rRNA from 1 species